rnacentral:rRNA from 1 species
AUUGAACGCUGGCGGCAGGCCUAACACAUGCAAGUCGAACGAGUGGCGGACGGGUGAGUAAUGUCUGGGAAACUGCCCGAUGGAGGGGGAUAACUACUGGAAACGGUAGCUAAUACCGCAUACCAUCGGAUGUGCCCCGGUGGGAUUAGCUAGUAGGUGGGGUAAAGGCGCGCCGAGGCGACGAUCCCUAGCUGGUCUGAGAGGAUGACCAGCCAAACUGGAACUGAGAGACGGUCCAGACUCCUACGGGAGGCAGCGGUGGGGAAUAUUGCACAAUGGGCGCAAGCCUGAUGCAGCCAUGCCGCGUGUAUGAAGAAGGCCUUCGGGUUGUAAAGUACGUUCAGCGGGGAGGCGUUACCCGCAGAAGAAGCACCGGCUAACUCCGUGCCAGCAGCCGCGGUAAUAC